rnacentral:rRNA from 1 species
UACCAUACAGUGGGGGAUAACCAGAAGAAAUUCUGGCUAAUACCGCAUACGAAGCACAAUUUUGAAAGUAGUGCUUGAAAGGAUGCUUCGGCAUUCGCUGAAUGAUGGGCCUGCGUAGCAUUAGUUUGAUGGUGGGGUAACGGCCUACCAUGACUACGAUGCUUAGCUGGUCUGAGAGGAUGUUCAGCCACGCUGGAACUGAGACACGGUCCAG